rnacentral:rRNA from 1 species
CGCUGGCGGCGUGCCUAACACAUGCAAGUCGAACGGAGUCAAGAAGCUUGCUUUUGACUUAGUGGCGGACGGGUGAGUAACGCGUGAGUAACCUGCCUCUGAGAGGGGAAUAACGUUCUGAAAAGAACGCUAAUACCGCAUAAUGUAUCGAAGCCGCAUGACUUUGAUACCAAAGAUUUUAUCGCUUGGAGAUGGACUCGCGUCCGAUUAGUUAGUUGGUGAGGUAACGGCUCACCAAGACCGCGAUCGGUAGCCGGACUGAGAGGUUGAUCGGCCACAUUGGGACUGAGACACGGCCCAGACUCCUACGGGAGGCAGCAGUGGGGGAUAUUGCGCAAUGGGGGCAACCCUGAACCGCAGCAACGCCGCGUGAAGGAUGAAGGUUUUCGGAUUGUAAACUUCUUUUAUCAGGGACGAAGCUUGACGGUACCUGAUGAAUAAGCUCCGGCUAACUACGUGCCAGCAGCUGC